rnacentral:rRNA from 1 species
GAUGAACGCUGGCGGCGUGCCUAAUACAUGCAAGUCGAGCGAACAGAUAAGGAGCUUGCACUAUUGAAGUUAGAGGCGGCCGGGUCAGUAGCACGUGGAUAACGUACCUCUAAGAAUGUGAUAACUUCAGCGAACCGAAGCCCAUACCGAAUAACAUACAGAACCGCAUGGAUCAAUAGUAAAAGGUUACUUUGCUGUCUCUUAUAGAUGAACACGCGCCGUAUUAGCUAGAUGGUAAGGUAACGGCGUACCAAGGCAACGAUACGGAGCCGACCUGAGAGGGUGAUCGGCCACACUGGAACUGAGAGUCAGUCCAGACUCCUACGGGAGGCAGCAGUAGGGAAUCUUCCGCAAUGGGCGAAAGCCUGACGGAGCAACGCCGCGUGAGUGAUGAAGGUCUUCGGAUCGUAAAACUCUGUUAUCAGGGAAGAACAAAUGUGUAAGUAACUGUGAACAUCUUGACGGUACCUGAUCAGAAAGCCACGGCUAACUACGUGCCAGCCGCCGCUGUAA